GACGAACGCUGGCGGCGUGCUUAACACAUGCAAGUCGAACGGAAAGACCCUGCUUUUGUUGGUUUCUCGAUUGGCGAACAGGUGAGUAACACGUGAGUAACCUGCCCUUGUCUUUCUGAUAUCUUCUUGAGACUCGGGCUCAUACCGCAUAGGAUCUCCUGCUGCAUGUUGUUCGUUGGAAAGUUUCGGCUGUUGUGGAUGGACUCGAUGCUUAUCAGCUUGUUUGUGUGGUAGUGGCGUACCAAGGCUUUGACGGGUAGCCGGCCUGAGCGGGUUAACGGCCACAUUGGGACUGAGAUACGGAGCAGAAGGGUACGGGAGGCAGCAGUGGGGAAUAUUGCACAAUGGGCGGAAGCCUGAGGCAGAAACGCCGCGUGCGGGAUGACGGCUUUCGGGUUGUAAACAGAUUUCGAAUGUGACGAAGAGGGAGUGACGGUAAUGGGUAAAGAAGCAACGGCUAACUACGUG
rnacentral:rRNA from 1 species